AAGCUCGUAGUUGAAUUUCGGGGUUAGUAGGUUGGUCAUGCCUCUGGUAUGUACUGGUCUCACUGAUUCCUCCUUCCUUAUGAACCGUAAUGCCAUUAAUUUGGUGUUGCGGGGAAUUUGGACUGUUACUUUGAAAAAAUUGAGUGUUUAAAGCAAGCUAACGCUUGAAUACAUUAGCAUGGAAUAACGAAAUAGGACGUUCGAUCUUAUUUUGUUGGUUUCUAGGAUUGACGUAAUGAUUAAUAGGGAUAGUUGGG
rnacentral:rRNA from 1 species